CGAGGGCAGCGCCAAGAUGGCGGCGCGCUGCCAGUACUCAACAUGGCGCCUGUGCCCGCGGUUGCGGCCGAAGUAAGAGUGUCGGUGUUUCCGUGGUUAUAUUACCUUAGCGGUGCUAAAAACGAGGGGAAAGCUCGUGCGUUGGCGGAUGAGAGGAGUGCAGUGCUGUAGGACUUACCAGGCCCAGCUCCCACAGUCUCUCCUCAGAGAGAUGCUCCAGACCCCUCAUCAUCUCUGUGGCCUCUCCUGGACCCUCUCCAGUAGCUCCUUGUCAUUCUUGUACUGCUUCUACACCUGGUAAUGCUUCUUAUCUCUGUGUAUGGGCAGGAGGCUGCAGGAGGGUGAGGUUUGUAGUGAUUUCUCAGUGUCACAAAGUUGUCUCAGUGUCUCCUCAGAGAAGUCCCACAAUGGGACCUGGAUUCCCAUUGAACUGACUGCUUUAAGUUUCCCAGUCUUCAAAAUGUAACUCUUGAUACUUGUGAAGGGUUUUGCUCCUGCUGUUGUUUUUUUUUUCCCACUAGUAAAUUGUAUCUGUUGCCAAUAUGUUGGUUUAUUCCAAGUUUAGUAAUACUUGGUAUUUUUAAGCCUUAGCUUUCAGCUUUGAUAGCUAUGAUGGUUAUAAGAAUUGAAUGCAAGGUGUUUUUGUAUAGCUUUUAUAAUUGUAAACAGAAUCCUCAAAAAAUUCAUGUCAUUGUUCAAAAACUCAGGGGGAUUUGCAAAGCAGAAAUAUCAGUGAUAAUCUUACAGUUCAACACUGAUGUCAUUCCCUUAGUGAACUGUGUAUCAGCUAAAUGUUGGGUUUGAAAAUCUGUUGUUUGGAGAGGAAAGUUUCUGGCUCAUUUCUGGCUGAGUGACUUUCCUGUCGAGGACAAGUAGGCUAGAUUUGGAAAAUCCUUUGUGUUUCAGUUAAAUAUCAUUCAUAUGGAAAAAGCUGUUCCUGUUCAAUCCAUGUCAGGCAGGAGGGGUGAAGUGCACACAUCUGUAGUUUAGUUUAACUUCUUAAAUUCCCGUCAUGUAAAUCAAUGUAUAACUUCACCUAUGAACGAUAUUUAGUCCUCUCUCCGUUGCACAGGAAUGUCCUUCCUGGAUGACAUCUGAUACCAACUGAUCUGCAAUUUUUGUGUAAUUCUGUUAAUGGGAAAAGGCACUGAGGAACUGCAGGAAUGAAUUGGCCUCCCUGUGAGUCACGAGGUCUUAAACUUAGAAAUUCAGCUGUGCAAUAAGCAUGUGAUCCCAUAAGCAUGCCAGGAGAAAUUCCCAGAGUGCCUGAUCCUCAACAGUUGGUUGGAAGCACCCCCAGCCCAGGGUUGUUUUGUGGCUGGACGGAAUUGGCUGCGAGUCCCGGUAGAAAUGAGCUCAUCCCAAGGAGUGAGCUCUGCCUGGUGUCCCCUGACCUCUGUGGGAACAGUGUGUGUGCAGCCUGCAGAGCACUGAUUUCAUGGAAUACAUGAAAUACCAGCUGCAGCCAAGAUUUAUUGCCCAAUUCUGAGUGCUGUGGGGUGGCCUGUGCAGUCACUGAGGUGAGGAGGCAUUUACAGCUGGCAGUGCCUUGCAGAACUGAUGUUCAGCCUGUAACAGUUUCUUCAGUUGCUUGCAACAAUUUGUUUUCACAGAGAAAUGCUUAUUUCUCCAUUUUAUUCAGAGUGUAAAUGUUUCAGGCGCAGAGAUAAAUGUUACAUGGAGGGAUGGAGGCCAAAUACAUCAAGAGUGGCCCUAAAAGCAAGUAAUGCCUUUAAGUGCUACCCUACUGUUGACAUAGGAAAGCUUUUAGGUGGUGAGGUUUUUGGGAAGUAGCUUUGCAAAGGUGGUAACUGUUACCUCCCCAGGGCACCUCAAAGCAGGAUGGUGCUCUCUUGUCUGAGGUUGUCAGGCCUGGUGUGAUGGUGGGUCGUGGAUCUGGUGUCCUGUGGGAAAAUGGCAUCCAUAGUUAAUGGAAAGCAGAGGGUGCUCUUGGCAAUAAAAUAUAUGGGAUAUUUAAUUAUCUAAUAAUUAGAUAAUAAUUAUUAGAUAAUAGAUAAUAAUUAGAUAAGUAUGGUCUUAUACUGAGCACUGAAACAGAGACUCUUUGCACACUCUUCAGUUUGUAUAAGUUUUUGCUCUUUUUGUUUGAAUCCUUAAAUUGAAAAUAAUUCAGUCCAGGUAUUCUUAAGCUAGAGGAUGAAAUAGGAAUACUUAAGGUUUGUACCAAAGAUGUCUUUAAUAUUUCUGCAAAUGUUUCAAUUUUCAUGCAGUUCUCUGGUUUUCAUUGUGAAUAUGAAGAAAUAUGGGGGAAAAUUUAAUCUACUGCCCUUUGAUGAUGUGCAGAAGCACAACCAGUCCUGUAACAGAUGAGUAACUUGGUUGCCCAGAGAGGUUGUAGAUCCCCAUCCCUGGAAGUGUCCAAAGCCAGGUUGGACAGGGCUUGGAGUAACCUGGUCUAGUGGAAGGUGUCCCUGCCCAUGGCAGGGGGUGGAACAAGAUGACCUUCAAAAGUCCCUUCCAACCCAAACUAUUCCAUGAUUCUGUGAAAUAAAAAAUACUUUAAAUAUGACCUGCACAGUUACAGAAACAUCCAAAACUGACAUGUCUUUUGAAGAAUCACAAUAUCAAUUUUGGAUAAUGAAUAAAAGCAUAAUCAUUAACAUGUGAAACAGAAGGAUUUUAGCAACACAUUCCUAAUUUAGAACUUUUUUCUCUGCUAUUUCCAUGAUGGUCAAUGCAACUGUGGCUGUUGUGUCCAGGUGGAAUAAGCUGGGAGGUUUGCACAGCUUUUUAGUAUGAAAAUACUCAUUCAAAGGAACAGGAAAGAUGAUGUCAAAUAAUGCUGCAUUCCAGCAUGGAAUUGCAAGGAAAUGCAAAUUCUUAGGUCGAAUAGGGAUUGCUCUGGAAUGGUUGUGGUGCUUUUAAAAAGCUUGGGUUAACAUGCUAAUGUGAAAUGUGAGAGUGUUUUCAAUGAAGAGGACAGACACAGAAAAUUAUUACCAAAGCUAUUACAGUUUUUACCUCAAGCCAGGAUUUAGUGAUUUUUUCCAGGGUAUAUGUAAAUAACCAGCAGCUUAUUUUUCUUUAAAUGGGCAGUAAGAUAGUUUCUGUUUGCUUUCAUUAUGGUAAAGGUAAGGAAUUCUUGAUUUCUUUGACCUCAAUGACAACUCGCCUGUAGUCUGUAAAUUAAAGAAGAAAAGCCCACAUUAUUUUUACAUUCUUGUCUGAGGUUGUCUUUAGUAUCCUUGAAAUGAAAGAAGUAGUUAGAGCUGUGUCCUUGGUGACAAACCUCUGUGGCCGUGCCUGUCUCCAGCCCUUGUGUUCAAAACCUGUGUGUGGAUUAACGCCUCAGAGUUCCCUGUAACAGGAGGGGAUUUCCCGGGGGCACUGGGGAAAGGAAAGUUGCGGUUCAGGCAGGAAAUUGCCCGUUCGUUGGAAGUUCUGCGGUUUGAUUUCUAAAAUGUCAUUUUACACUAGACAAACUUCCCUGCGCAGCUGUAGGCGUGUGGUGUGCGUGUUCACGGGGGCUAAAGGAGCAGCAAAAUGUGGAUUGAACCUUUCUGUCAAAGGACCGCGACCCGAGGCUUAGAAAGACAAGAAAUCACAAGCACCUUAAUUAAUAUCUUGGGGCCUCUGAGGCCGUGGGAGGCUGAUGUGCCCGUUUAAUAACGCUGGACAUGAGGGUGUGCAAUUGCUGCCCGGGAACAGCAUCGCGGUUACUUGUGUUUUGUUACGGAAACGCGAGACCGCAGCACCCCGGUUAAAUAAAAUGGUGAUGGGGCCGUAUUUA